GGGGGAGGCCCGGGCAGCCCGCCCUGCCCCGGCGCUGGUGCGGCGGGGUUGCUGCCGCUUCAGUAGCGCUGUAUCUUAUUUAUAAAUGACAUUCAAUGUGUUAUUUGUUUUGUGAGUUGGGUUUUUUUUUUUAAUGUAUUGGAAGUGGUUUUCAUAAAGAAAUGUUUCUGUAGUAAGUCUGCAUCCUUUUGCAUGAUUGUGCAUGUGGUUAUGUUUUUUCAGGGCUGGACACUGGUGUGAGAAACCUAGUAAGGUGAUGAGGUGCCAUUAAUUAGGCCCCCUUUAUUAAGCGAGUGUGUAGAAGAAGCUGCUGCUACACCUUGCAGCAGCCCUUCAGUCGUAAGCCAGCUGAUGCCUUGUUUUUGCAGAUUCUUCCGUAUCCUUCUGUUUUCUGCAUCUCCAAGCAUUCCCUUAAGCCUAGGAGCUGCACUUAUGUUCCCAAACAAUGGCUGGAAAGCCUCAAAGUAAGAGCUCUGCUGGGACCAUGUAAAUGAAGUAACAAGGGACUUGAAUUUGUGACUGGUCAGUGGUUAGAUCAGGCAAUGAGAAGCAGCAUGCCAAUGGUCCAUCAGAGGAAGAGCACAGCACCAGCUGUUGAAGGCUGUGCUAGGGAAUAUCUAAUUAUUAGGGUAUUAUGAGGGGUAUAAUGGCUUCAAACAGGGAGAGGGUAGAUUUAGACUAGAUAUCAGGAAGAAAUUCUUUACUGUGAGGGUGGCGAGGCACUGGAACAGGUUGCCCAGAGAAGCUGUGGAUGCCCCAUCCCUGGAAGUGUUCAAGGCCAGGCUGGAAGGGGCUUUGAGCAGCCUGGGCUAGUGGGAGGUGUCCCUGCCCAUGGCAGGGGGGUUGGAACUAGUUGAUCUUUAAGGUCCCUUCCAACUUAAAACGUUCUAUGAUUCUAUUUUUUAGGGCACUUAUUGAUGUCCCCAGCGAGCAGUGCUGUGGGUGCUGGUAGGAGGGAGCCAGAAGCAGUUGCGGGUUGAUGUUGCUGAGGGGUAGCAGAUAUGAGCUCAGUGCACAGUCCCCCUGUGAGCACGGCUCAGUUGUCCUCUUGGCUUUGAAGUACUUAGUUGUAAUAGAGAAAAAAAGACAGUGUUAAGACUUUGAAGUCCUGAGGAAGUUUGCUGUUUUGAGGUUGUCAUGAAUCAUAAUCAAACAUGUCAUGAAACAUUAAGGUGUUUCAUCACCAUUUCCAAAAAACUUACUUCAGCUUCAGGCCUAUUGUCCAGUUGACACUGUAUAUGAACACGUAGGGGCCAACAGUCAAGCUUUUCAAAGUAUGUAUGUGUUCACUGGUUAGCAGAUAGUAGAAAUUCCAGUCCCACUGUUACCUCUGUAAAGCCUGAAGGCUCCUCCUGAAGGUUUAUAACUAUUACCUUCCACUAGAUCAGGUUAGUUGAUAUCCCUGCCCGUGGUAGGGGUGGUUGGGACUAAAUUAUUUUUUUAAGCUCCAUUCCAACCUAAAUCAUUCUAUGAUUUCAUAAUAUCCAUUAAAUACUCUGUAAAACAAAAUCUUUCAUUUUAGAUAGUCAGUGGUAGUCUGUUUCAGCUCUGAAUGAAAGAAGACUGAGAAUUGCAGUCCAGAACACGAUUUGAUUUUAUCCCCCCUGUUAUUUCCCUCUGCAAUACAGUUUUCCCAUGAGUCCUGAAGUAUCACUGUCAGCGGAUUAGCUGGGAAAUUUAGUGAUGUCAGUGAGGACAUCGUAUUUCAAGUUAGAGGUCUGCUGCCAACACCAGUCUAUAAUAUCAGUAGAGAUUUUUUUUCCCAGAUCAGAAGGUUAAUCUUUAUGUCAUAUUAAAGUUCUUGCAAAGAAAAUGGGAAGAUUAUAAACCAUAUCAGUUUAAAUUAGACUUGGCACUUGGUGCUUGUUGUUUACCAACAACUUUACAAACAGUUAUUGAUUGAUUGUGACAAUAUCUCUAGGUGUUACCAACCUUAAUUUCCUGGCAGAGCAGCUUAGUAGAGAGGUUAAGUGACCUAACGAAAGGGUGAGAUGAGAAUCAAUGGUAAAUCAGGAUUCAAAUUUAGGAAUGCUGGAUUUGGAGAUGAAGUUUCUCUUGCCAUGUCAGAAGCGAUAGUGUUAGGUAACAUAAUGUAGAGGGUCAAAAUGAUAAAGGCACAGGUGCCAAAGAUGCCACACAGGAAAAGACCAAGAGUGAACAGUGUACGCUGGGACUGUGUCCCAUCCUGUCCUUCUGACAGCUGGAAGCUGCUGCAUCUUGGCAGCAUCCCCCAGCCUCUGAUUCCCAUUAGCUUCCGAAGUCAGUGGGAACUGAUAAUUGCUGGCUUGCGCAGAAGGAAGAGAUCACUGAUCAGCCAGGUGGUGCCAUGAUGACUUUGUUGCUGAGUUCCUACAACCCUACUUAGUUGCUAAUUUGGAAAAGUAAAGUGUAGCCUUGGGUAUCAUCUGUGAAUGGCUGCAGCCCCCCUUCCUCCCCCCAGGUCCGCAGGAUUGCAUCUCGAAAGGAGUCUGGUAGUGGUGCCUGUAGAGCUGCUGGUCACAUGGAGUUAGCUUAGCUGCCUUAUUUCCAGCAGCUAAAUCAUAUUAAGAAGCAAUUAAUGUUCAUUAAAUGCUUUCCUAAUGCUGCCUUCUCAUCUAAGCAAUAGCUGUCAUAGGGAUAUUAGUUAUUGCAAAUAGGAGAGGAGAUGACUGGUACAAUUAGGAAGAAGAGAAAGGUACUAAAGAUAUUCAGUGGAGUCCCAUGUUGUGGCAAAGCAUGAGAGUUUCCAGAGUGAGGUGUUAGUGCAAGGCUACUGUUUUGGUAUUUUUAGUGUAGUUAUGUGAGUGCUUUUAGCAAAAAAACCUCCAACAAAACCAAAAAAACUCCAAAAACCAAAACAUGUAUGUUUCAAACCAGGAGAAAGUCAUUGGUUCAUUGCAUUUCACAACUUUUUCGUUUAUUUCUACCCAUAGUUUUGGGCAACAUAAUUUAAAUAAUGAUAAACAGCUAGAACUGAGGUGCUGUCUGCCAAACUCUAGGACAUCAAAUUGUCCGGAUCAUUUCACAAAAAUGGCAGAAAGCAGGGCAUUCCUGUACCCCCUUUAAAUAGAAUAAAUAAAUAAAAACAUAAAAUCCAAGCCCAGUAAUCAUGUUGUGUGCUAUGCUUAGUGUUUUUCACAUUUUUUUUUCAGGACAGGAUUGUGUGUCCUAUAACUUACAAAUUAGGUGUUAUUAAACUAAUAACUACAUUCAGCCAGCAAACAGUCUGUUGAGGUCUACAUAAAACUAGCUGAAGUAUUAGGUGUUCAAAAGCAGUUAUGUGUACCCCAGUUUUGAGACAUUCAUCAAGUGUGCCAGUGACAACUCAUCAUGUAAGGCACUGUUCACUGUCCAGAGAAGGUCAAGGUGAAAGAAGUCAAGGCAUAUGGAGAAGUCUUGAAGAUGCUGAGCAUCUCAUAAGAUGUCACACUUAUAGCAGGGCUUGCCUCUUGUGCACAAAAUCAAUCAUUGAAUAGUUUGGGUUGGAAGGGACCUUUAAAGGUCAUCUAGUCAAACCUCCCCUGCAAUGAGCAGGGACGUCUUCAACUAGAUCAGGUUGCUCAAAGCCCCAUCCAUCUAUGACCUUUCUGCACAACCCGUGCCAGUAUUUCACUACCCUCAUUGUAAAAAAAUUUCUUCUUUAUAUCUAAAUCUACCCUCUUUUAGUUUAAAGCCAUUACCCCUUGUCCUUUUGCAAAAGGCCCUGCUAAGAAGUCUGUCCCCGUCUUUCUUAUAAGCGCCUUUUAAGUCCUGGAAGGCUGCAAUAAGGUCUCCCUGGAGCCUUCUCUUCUCCAGGCUGAACAACCCCAGUUCUCUCAGUCUGUCUUUGUAGGAGAGGUAUUCCAUCCCUCUGAUCAUUUUUGUUGCCUUCCUCUGGACUUGCUCCAAAAGAACCAUGUCUUUCCUGUGCUGAGGGCUCCAGAGUUGGAUGCAGUACUCCAGGUGGGGUCUCACAAGAGCAGAGGGACAGAAUCACUUCCCUCAACCUGCUGGCCAUGCUUCUUUUAGUAUGGAUACGGUUGGCUUUUCUGGGCUGUGGGAGCACGUUGUCGGCUCCUGUCCAGCUCUUCAUCCACCAGUACCUCCAAGUCCAUCUCAGCAGGGCUGCUCUCAGUCCCUUCAUCCCCCAGCCUAUAUUGAUACUGGGGUUGCCCUGACCCAAGUGCCAGACCCUGCACUUGUCCUUGUUGAACCUCAUGAGGUUCACAUGGGCCCACUUCUCAAGCUUGUCCAGGUCACUCUGUAUGGCAUCCUGUCCCUCAGGUGUGUCAACUGACACCACUCAGCUUGGUGUCAUCGCAAACUUGCUGAGGAUGCACUCGAUCCCACUGUCUAUGUCAUUAAUGAAGAUACUAAACAGUACUGGUCCUAAUACAGACCCCUGAGGGGCACCACUUGUCACUCGUCUCCAUCUGGGCAUUGAGCCAUCGACCACUACCCCCUGGAUUUGACCAUACAACCAAUUCCUCAUUCACCGAACAGUCCACCCACCAAAUCUCCAAUUUAGGGAGCAGGAUGUUGUGGUGGACUGUGUCAAAGGCCUUACAGAAGUCCAGAUAGAUGAUAUCCAUAGCUCUUCCCUUGUCCACUGAUGUAGUCGCUCCAUUGUAGAAGGCCACAAGAUUGGUCAGGCAGGACUUGCCCUUGGUGAAGCCAUGCUGGCUGUCUCGAACCACCUCCCUGUCCUCCAUGUGCCUUAGAAUAGCUUUUAGGAAGAUCUGUUCCAUGAUCUUCCCAGGCACAGAGGUGAAGCUGACAGGUCGAUAGUUCCCAGGGUCCUCCUUUCUACCCUUUUUAAAAAUGUGUGCAGUAUUUUUCCAGUCACCAGGGACUUCUCCUGACUGCCAUGACUUUUCAAAUAUCACAGAGAGUGACUUGGCAACUACAUCAGCCAAUUCCCUCAACUCUGGGAUGCAUCUCAUUAGAUCCCAUAGACUUAUGUAUGUUCAGGUUCCUCAGGUGGUCCUCAUCUUCUCUUACAGUGGAAGGGACUUUGUUCCCCCAGUCCCUGCCUUGCGGUCUAUCCACUCCAGAGGUGUGGGGAGAGAGAUUGCCAGAGAAGACUGAGGCAAAAAAAGUUGUUGUGUAUCUCAGCCUUCUCCUUGUUCAUUGUUACUGGUUUGCCAGUCUUGCUCAUCACGGGGUUACUCUUUUUUGACCUUCCUUUUCUGGCUGACAUACCUGUAGAAGCCCUUCUUAUUAUUCUUCGCAUCCUUUGCCAUGUUCAGCUCCAGCUGCGCCUUGGCCUUCCUGACCCCAUCCCUAGACAACCGGGCAGCAUCCCUGUACUCUUCCCAGGAUACCUGUCCCUGCUUCCACUGCCUGUGCAUCUCUUUCUUGCUUUUUAGUUUGACGAGCAGGUCUCAACUCAGGCAUGCUGGUCUCUGGCCUUCCUUUCCUGAUUUCUUGCACAUUGAGAGCUCUUUUGCUCCAAGAAAAGCAUCCUUAAAGAAUUUUUUUUCACUGUUGUAAACUGGCUAUGAUUUUUAUUUGUCAGAGUAAUGUAUUGUGUGUGCUUCCCCAGAUUCCUCUCUUCAGUUUAACCGAGUAACCAGCUUCCCUUCUUUAGCAAUUGUGAUCCUGCCCCAUGGCAGAUAAACGUUCAUUGCCAAAAAUGCAUCUUGUAGCAUAAGCAAACUUAAGGCCAGUAACUACUGAAAAUCAAUGUUCUACUGCCAGCCACUGUGCAAGGCUUCAUCCAAUUAAGGGCACCGCGGGCAUUGAAAUGCCCGUGAUUGUCGUGCAGUCCAGUGUGCGUGCUCUUCCGAAGGAAGUUGAUGGGGGGAGGAGGAUCUGAAUUCUAAUUAGAUACAAUUAGAGGAUUUUAACACAGAGACCCUGAAAACUUGCAGGUUGCUAACCUGAAGGGAGAGAGAUUUUUUUUUCCCCAUUCUUCUUCCUAAAUGCUCUCAACAUGACCUCUUAACGUGACACCAUGAGAAAGGCCAUAUGGGGGUCAGACUAGACCAGCACGUUCUUCAGGCGGCGCCCAGUAGCAGACUCCUGGGGAAGAAGUGUGCGGUGAUCUGUCCCUAGGAUCCUUUCUCAGCUUCCAGCAAUCAACGGCUCAGGGAAUUUCUGAACCAGAGCUAUCUGUGUGUUUAGGUGCCUUUCAUGGAUUUUUCUUCCAUGAUUGUGCCUAAGUGCUUUUUGAAACCGUGUGAAGUUUUGGCAUCAACAGCAGCUUGUGUCAAUGAUUUCCAUCCAAGCUGAAAUCCGUCCCAUUAUGAUGAACCCAGGAACAAUUUGCUAAGAAAAGUCUCUGCUGUUAUUUGGAAACUCUGAUCUCCUAUGCUAAAGGACAUGAAGCGUAAAUGCGCUGAUAUCCCGUGCCUCGGUGACAGGCCUUGCUGAUCGGAUUGCACUCCUGGCUCACUUUCAUUAGGCUCUGCAAAUAUACUGCCAUUCUCGCAAAAUCCGUGUGCCGGGCUAAACAGAAGCAAGAAGGCGUGACUACAGGAGUGCACUCCCAACGUGUGAUGAGAAGGUGCUGCCAGACGCUCUGCAAGAGAUCGGGGAAGGAGGCGCGAGCCAGGGAGCUGCGAGUGGAGCACGGAGAACUGCACUGGUAGGGCACCGGUGGGAGUCCCUGCCCUGGGCACCACCUGGCUGAGGUCCUGAGCCUGAAGGAGCGAAAGGAGUGGCGGUGCUUUGAGCUGCCCACUCGUUUCCCUCACAGAAGGCAUCACCCUACCCACAUCCUGCAGCAGCUGUUGGAGGGGACAGCAGGGAAGGGAGCCGUGUUUUCCCCAGGCUCUGGGUGAAGAGGCACUGAGGAUCAGAUCACUCUUGGUUUCUUUCUGGCUGUAGCAAACAGACAUUAUUUUUCUCCCAAGUCAAGUGGUAAGCAACUAAUACUGACGAGAGACUGUAUAGUUCAUGGGGAUCAUUUUUAAACCAUUUUGCACCACUUGGUCCUUAGAGGAAAGCCCCAAACAAAUCAAGAUCAGGCAGAAGAGCCCUGGCAUCUGUCGGAGUGGAGCCCUGAGCCUCCUCCAUCCCCGCCACAGCAGACGGCAAGCGGCCAGAUUUCACAGCCAUGCUGCUAUUCUGGGACCUGAUGUUUAUGCCGGGCAGCCCUGAGGGAGGAGGAGGAUGCACGGGAAAGGGUCCCAGGGCUGGCACACAGACACACUGUCCCAACAAGUACCUGGUAACGCCAGGUCUGCGCCUCCAGAAUGAAACCUGGGCAGUGACUACGAGGCAUUUGAGAUUGUAACAACCUCUGCCUUGGCUCAGGGUAGCCAUGAUGCCUCUCUGCAACCAUGUCCAAGAGGAAAAAUGCAAGGAAUAGGGAAUACAGCCAGUUGGCUUUUCCUUAGUGUCACCCCACAGCACUGUGAAAUCUCCAAGUGAUCUCCAGACUAUCGCGUUAAAACACUUAAGGGAUUCCUCUUCCAGGAAUUUGUCUAAACUCCACUCAAACUCACUUGCUGCACGGAAUUGAAUUCCAUACUUUGGCUGAGCAUUGUGUGAAAAAAAACCACCAAACCAACAAUAAUUUUGUUUGCAUUAAAUCUCUGAUAAUUUCACCACAUGAGCCUUACGGUGUGAAAAUAGUGACUAAUGUUUUCUCAUUUAUCAUCCUCAUGCCAGUCAUCAAUUUAAAUAUCUUUUCCUUAAUGCUUUUCAGAUGAUGAGCUCUUUCCUAUUUAAUUUCUUUACACCUGGAAGCAUUUCUCAGAAAGUUUGGAAAAAAAUUCAGAAACGCAGCUUAUAAAAAAAUCCAAUUUUCCCAAUAUCUGUCUUUAGGACCAGUUUUUCAUUGUCCUUGGUAAUUAAUUUGCCAGUACUACAUGCCACAUUUCUAACGAGCUCUUUUUUGCACAAAUUCAAAAUACACUAACAAGGAGCUGACUAGUUUUCACCUGUGGCUGAAUAAAGCAUUGAAAAAUAGCCAAAAUCAGAACAACAAAAAUAAUGUUUUAUAAAGGAAAAAGUAGUAUAUGAGUUCGUAGCUUGUACUUGCAGUAGGGGAAAAAAGCAAAGAAAUAUCACUUCAAGGUUUGUUCUAAUUUGACGGAACUAUUUAUAGGUGCUGCAUAUUAUGUUAAUUUUGCUUCUCCUGACAUACAAAGGCUUCCUUUGAGAGCUUUUAUAGUAAAAGAAGGAAGAAAGCAAGAAAGCGAGGGGCUCUCACAAACAGAGUUAUGAUAAAAGCGGCUGUCAUUAUAACAGAUCAUCAGAAAGAGAGAAGGAAAUGGUGAGAUGCCAUUCAUCACUUUGAGAAAUGCUCACAAACAGCUCCUCGUUAGGUAAGAUUAGCUACAAUAUUUAUGAAGAGGGAUAUGUUAUCAGAAGAAUGCGAUUUUUUCCUCUUGCCGGGCUGUUUACAAACUCAUCCUGAUUUCUGCCAGUGUUAUUUGUUAUUUGCAAGAAUUCAUUCAAAUACCUUACUCAAAACAGUAAGAAAAAAUUCACUUCUGCUUGAGAAUAUGUUUCAUUUCCCUGAAAUGUUGUUGGGAGUUUUUUCUUUGCAUAAAUGGGAUGUGAAGUAUUCAGCUUGUGGACCGUAUGCAAACAGGCCAUUUAAAGUGAGUUAUUUUCAUUGUAUUGAGGUCAUUGAUCACACUAUUCUUUGUACUGCACGGCUGUAUGCAUGAAAAACAAGCUUUUUGAUGUGGAAAAACAGACUAGAACUGAUGAACUAUUGACAAGGAAUAUAAAUAAUGGAUAGCAAACAGAAAGGACCUGCGCAUUGUAGAAUUUCAGGUUAUGUUUUAUUUUUGAUAGUUUGAAGGGGAUAGUGGUACCCUGGCCACCUUCACUGAUUGUUUUAGUCAUAAAAUUUCCAAUUUUUUCAGGAAGAGAUAAAGAAAAUCUUUACAAAUGAAUGUCUGCAAACUGCAAACACGAUAUGGAGAGAGAAUAAAUGUCACGUCACAAAUUCUGUGUUCAUGGGCCCUGCUUUGUGGCCAAGUUCUUUUCAGUCCCGCUGCAGACGGCCAUCAGAGUUAACCCUCUGCACGGUGAGACAGCCCCCUCACAAUGUAGAGAUCCUCUAGAAAUGUGGUGUUGGAGUAGCUUCAGUUAAAAAAAAAACAAAACAAACAUUUAAAAACACACUAGAAAUAAUUCACUUGGAGCUUAUUAUGGCUUCUAAUUUGUAUCAAGAUGUUUUCCCACUAGUCCGUACCAGCAGCAUUAAACAGACACUCAAAAUACCAAAGAGCAUCUCAUGUCCCAGUACAUAUGGCACAGAGGCAUUAGCCACUGUACAGC